CUGCGCCACUAGUGGUGAUCGCGUCUAUUGGGCCUAAAGCAUCCGUAGCCGGCUCUGUAAGUUUUCGGUUAAAUCUGUACGCUCAACGUACAGGCUGCCGGGAAUACUGCAGAGCUAGGGAGUGGGAGAGGUAGACGGUACUCGGUAGGAAGGGGUAAAAUCCUUUGAUCUAUUGAUGACCACCUGUGGCGAAGGCGGUCUACCAGAACACGUCCGACGGUGAGGGAUGAAAGCUGGGGGAGCAAACCGGAUUAGAUACCCGAGUAGUCC
rnacentral:rRNA from 1 species